UGUCAUCGUUUAUUGAUCAUUACAAUAUUAUAUUUUUAAGCUCAUAAUAGUUUGGUUGAGAUUAAAAAAAAUAUUUAUAAUAUUUUAAAAUAUAUUUUAUAGUACUUUUGUUGUGGUGGUUAGAAUACUAUAAUAGAUAAAAAAUAUUAUAACGGAUCAAAGUACGGUAAUAGAUAGAAAUUUUUUUAAGGGAAAUUUAAGUAUUUUUUAAAUUAAAGGCAUUGCUUGAAAAAAAUAAUAUGAGGGUAUUGAUUGAGAAAUAUUUAAAAUAUGAGUAUUUUCUAGAUAAAUCAUCUUAUAUUAUUUUUUUCGCUAUAUAUAUAUAUUUAACAUUUAUUGUAUUUGAGCCCUAGAUAUACAAAAACCUGUUUUGUUUGCUGAAGUUGUGUGAAGAAUACUUUUAAUUGAUUAUUUAUUGUAUUUUAGUUUAAAUUAUGAUAAUAAUAAGUAAAGUUAUAUAAAUAAUAUGCUCUUUAAUGAAAUAUGUUUUAGUAUUUCUUUUCACUAUUUCUUGUUUUUUAGCUUAAAACAUAUAAAAAUUCAUUUUGUAUCUUACAGUUGUAUAAAAAAAUAUUAUUUUUAGCAAUUUUAAAAAAAUUCUUAAAAUAUUAGUUUUAUUUGUAUUUAUUUCUUUUUCAUUAAAUAUUGUAUUUUAGCUAAUAUUACUUUGAUGUUUUAUCUAUUAAUAUGAUCUCCAAGUACUUACGUGUGAGAGGCCUUCGACCCGGUCCAAACAGGCCGAGUUGCUGGCCCGCGCUAACCUUUCGAACCGGUCUAACUCGACCGAGUUGCGGUAAGGAUAUGAGAUCGCCAGGAAUAAUUAUUGGCAAGCUUUCCACUCGAGCGCACCGACCUCUGGGUGGCUUUCUUGUCCCCUCUCUCCGCCCAUUCCAUCACCGUCCCAAAGCGAAAAGGGGUGAACCGAUGGAUCAUCCUCCAUACUGUUGUGGAUUCGAAGGUAAUGCUUCCCAUUUCUUCGUGGUAUUUGUCUUUGUUGUCUUCGUUCAUUGAGAGAAACGGAGGAAUUGAUUGUUUGUUGCUUUUGAACGGUGACGUCUCUUUUCUAUGUUAAUGAACCUUGAUUUGAGCUAUGUUCAUCGUCUUGUCGAACGAAAAGGUAAAGAGGUGGUUGAAAUGAGAAAUAUUGAAAGGGGUUUAGAGUCGAGCAUGCAGUGUUUGGGUCUCCAAAACCUUAAAAUGUCUUCUCUUGAAUGGCGAUUGAAUGUGACGAAUCCGCAAGAUUUCAAAUAUUAGAUCUUCAUCUUUCUGUAGUUAUUGUGUGUGAGAUUUAGUAUGAAGAAUUAUGAUCAGUCAUCUUCCCAUCUGCAUGGUUUUCAUUUUUAUAUGGAGAAAUGAAGGAAUUGAUGGAUUUGCUGCUUGGUAUUACGGUUGAUUUUUGUGGAGAUUUCAGAGGGUUUCUUUUCUAUGUUAAUGAACCUUGAUUGGAUCUUUUUUGGGGCAAAGAAUUGAUCGAAAUGAGCAAUCUUGAAAGGAGAUUUAGUUAAAAUCUUCUCUUGAAUGCUGGGAUUUAAUGUGAGGAAUUGGUUAUAACAAAAAAAACUCUCAAUAUUUCAAGCAUAAAUUCUUCUGGAGCUGUUUCUCCCCAUAUUUAGAAUGAAUAAUUAAAAGAUUAUGAUGAAGAAUGUGAUGGGGAUAUGAUGGGCUCUUGAUAGAACCCCUGCUGACACACCUACUUGAAAGCAAGUAAUUGAGGGCCAUGAAGGAGCUUACUGCAGAACUGCAAUGAGAGGCCUUUGUGCUGUUGCAGCAGCAGUAAGCUCAAAUAUGCCUGUGGAAAGUGCAACACUGAAGUGAGAGAUUAGGAGAAGAGAUGAAAGUAGGUGUUAUAAAGAAAGAGAGUAUCUAUUGAUGGGAAUUUGACCUAUGAUACCAAGGAAUUAGUGAUGAGUAUCUUUUGAUCCCAUUCCUACCGUAAGUUGGAGGGGAUUAACUUGUCAUAUGUUGUUUUGUUGGACAGAGAAUGGUGUAUGGUAUGUCCGGUGUCGGAUGAGUCUAAUUUUUUUUUAUAAAAAUAAGUCUUGUUUUUUGUAUUUUCGAAAUUCUUUUUUCAAUUGAGAAUUUAAUGAAAUUCUUAUCGUCGACUACUUAUUAUUUUUGUUUAAUAUAGGUAUUAAUAAAUUGUUAAAUUGACCUAUUAGCUUAGUUGGUUAGAGCGUCGUGCUAAUAACGGGAAGAUCGUAGGUUUGAGACCUGCGGCCAUGCUUAUGAUUAUUUUUAUUUUUUUUAAAAUCAUUUAAUUAUAUUUAAACUUAAAAUAUAGAACAAAUAUUAUUUUUUUGUAACUAAUGUCAUAAAUAUUAUUUAAAAAUAUUUUAACCAAUGUGUAAUAAAAAUAUUUAAAAUAAUAUCUUAAAUAUUAUUUAGUUUGCCAAUGUCAUAAGAUAUAGAAGGUAUUCAGAUAAAUAGAAAUUAUUUUAAUUUUUAACCAUUUAUCUUUUCAUAGUUUCAAAUAUGUAAAAAUACUUUUUAAAAUUUUCAUUAUUUAUUUUAUUUUAGCUAAAAUAUGAAGUACAUUUAGUUUCACAAAUAAGUCAACAAGGAUUUCUUGAUUUGUAAACUUUACUUUUUUUCAUCAUUUAAUGUAGUUAACUUAAAAUAUUAAAAAAUAUUAUUUUGUUUGCCGGUGUCAUAAGAUGUAAAAAAGCUACUAUGAUAAAUAAAAUAGAUUUUAAGUUUGAACCACUUAAUGUAUCUUUUUAAAAUAUAUAAAAAGCUUUUAAUUUUUUUUAUUGUCUAUUUUAUUUUAGCUUAAAUAUGAAGUGCACAUAAUUUCACAAAUAGUCGAUGAGGAUUCUUUACUUUUAUUUUUUUCAACUCCUUGUGUGGAAAUGGUUUAGUCAUAGGCUAUAGCAUUAUGCUGUGGUAGGCACAAGGUAGUGCUUUUCAAUUUGACUAUCUAACCUACACAAUCAUUCAUGGUCCUCUCAUUCAUUAUGCUGUGCCAAAAAGAUGUCUUCUUAGUGUCUGCACUUUCUUAUAAUUUUUUUAAUCCUUUAAAUGAGUUAAUAUUUAGAUAACUGCCAAUCUUUUUCUCUUUUCUGUUAUUGCCCUAUUCUGAGUACCUUCAUUAUGCAUUAUAUGGUUUUCUUCUUUCCUUCUUCAUUUAUGGUAUUAAUUACCUUAUGUGUACCCUUGAACUUUUUAUUGCAUUCUUCAUCAUCUAACAAAAGGAAUCACAUGAUCUUGGGAAAUGCUGUAAUAUGCUUUUUGGCAGUUAUUUACUUUGGGAAUAGAAUCUGCUAACAGUUCUUAUUUCUUUGUCUGUGCUGAUGAGUCCUACACAUACAAAUACCAUGGAUAUGAUAUGAUAAAAACAUCAAUGAAGCUUGGGAAGGUGCUAAAUAAGCAAGGGAUUUCUUCAUUUGCUGAAAAGUCAACUUAGUAGAGUUGUGCUAAUAGGCUGAGAAAGAAGCCAGGUUGCUGAAAAGUACUGUUAGCAGGAAUUCAUGAAGUAAAUUAAUAAAAGUAAGCAGGUUGUGGAAAAGGAAGAAAAGCAAAUGGGUCUUGAGCUUGAAAAGGAGAAAUUAGUGUCAGUAUUUUCUUGAAAAGGAGAAAGUACUGUUAGCAGGAAUAACUUGCUGUCUUGGAUCUGAAGAACAGAAACAUAGCUUAAUUCCAGAAAAUUUCAUAGAAGCAUAUUAGAGGCAGCUUAAAUUUCAUAGAAGCAUAUUGGAUCUGAAGAUCCAUUUAAAUAUUGACGGAGUCUCAUUAAAUGAUUCAAAAAAAUGAUUGUUACUAAUGUUUGAACACAGUAUAAUUCAUCUUAUAAUCUUUGCUUCAUUUACUGCUAA